UUAGCUACAGGGGUUCAUGGGGUUAUUUUUUCAUUUGCUUUCUUGGGAUUCCUUUACUGUAAUCAGAGAGUCAUAAAUAUCGAAUAGGAUAGCAAGGAUAGCAUAAAGUGACAUUUAAAAUCCAAAAAGUCGAGGGCAAAAGCCACUGUGACACCAUUGUUAUGCUCUAUCAGUAAUCUGUAUUAGGUAAAAAUGGUCCGUAAAUACAGCAUGUUUCCUAGUGGUGUUAUACAGAUCAGCAUAGUUAUAAAUUACAUUUUGUUAAAUCACACACUUAAUUUUUUUUUAAAUGAAAUUAUUCACGACAUAUGAGUGGACAGACAAUGUAGGUCGACAGAUCUGGUGAUAAUUGCUUCUAUAGAAAAUUAGCACAUGGCAGUGUCAAUCUCCUGCUUUUCUUCUGAGUAGUAUUUUAUUUAGUUGUAAUUCAAUCAAUAAUUUGCUUCUUGAAAUUAAUUAAUGAAUUUCUUGUUUUACUUUAUAAAUCUCAGAUCCUGCCUUUACCUGCUCCCUCCUAUACUGAUGUGGUGUAUGUGGUACUGCUGAGCUUGUAUGUGAUCUGAACCAUUGUAAAGGUUGCAGUUCAAAGACCUCAGGUGGAAGCAGAAUUUGUGGAUUGCUACUGCUCCACUUGUUCCAAGGCUUUUUGCACAACUUGACCAAUACACCAAUGACCAGCUCAUAAAAGUCUUCAAGAAAAAAGGAGGCGCUGCAGGGAGGAAAAUUAGACAAACUUUGGCCCCAGCCACAAAGAAGCAAACUAUUGAAAAGGGGAGGGAGUGUGUCCUCAGGGCACUACCUUUUUACCUGAAUGAAGACUCAAGCAUCCUCUUCAAAGAAUACCUG